rnacentral:rRNA from 1 species
AUUGAACGCUGGCGGCAUGCUUUACACAUGCAAGUCGGACGGCAGCACAGAGAAGCUUGCUUCUUGGGUGGCGAGUGGCGAACGGGUGAGUAACAUAUCGGGACGUACCGGGCAGUGGGGGAUAACUAAUCGAAAGAUUAGCUAAUACCGCAUAUCUUCUGAGGAAGAAAGCAGGGGACCAUUUGGCCUUGCGCUGUUUGAGCGGCCGAUAUCUGAUUAGCUAGUUGGUGGGGUAAAGGCCUACCAAGGCGACGAUCAGUAGCGGGUCUGAGAGGAUGAUCCGCCACACUGGGACUGAGACACGGCCCAGACUCCUACGGGAGGCAGCAGUGGGGAAUUUUGGACAAUGGGCGCAAGCCUGAUCCAGCCAUGCCGCGUGUCUGAAGAAGGCCUUCGGGUUGUAAAGGACUUUUGUCAGGGAAGAAAAGGGCGGGGUUAAUACCCCUGUCUGAUGACGGUACCUGAAGAAUAAGCACCGGCUAACUACGUGCCAGCAGCCGCGGUAAUACGUAGGGUGCGAGCGUUAAUCGGAAUUACUGGGCGUAAAGCGGGCGCAGACGGUUACUUAAGCAGGAUGUGAAAUCCCCGGGCUCAACCUGGGAACUGCGUUCUGAACUGGGUGACUAGAGUGUGUCAGAGGGAGGUAGAAUUCCACGUGUAGCAGUGAAAUGCGUAGAGAUGUGGAGGAAUACCGAUGGCGAAGGCAGCCUCCUGGGAUAACACUGACGUUCAUGCCCGAAAGCGUGGGUAGCAAACAGG